GAUGAACGCUGGCGGCGUGCUUAACACAUGCAAGUUGAACGGUGAAGCAGGAGCUUGCUCUUGUGGAUCAGUGGCGAACGGGUGAGUAACACGUGAGCAACCUGCCCCUGACUCUGGGAUAAGCGCUGGAAACGGCGUCUAAUACUGGAUAUGUGAUGUGACCGCAUGGUCUGCAUCUGGAAAGAAUUUCGGUUGGGGAUGGGCUCGCGGCCUAUCAGCUUGUUGGUGAGGUAAUGGCUCACCAAGGCGUCGACGGGUAGCCGGCCUGAGAGGGUGACCGGCCACACUGGGACUGAGACACGGCCCAGACUCCUACGGGAGGCAGCAGUGGGGAAUAUUGCACAAUGGGCGGAGGCCUGAUGCAGCAACGCCGCGUGAGGGAUGACGGCCUUCGGGUUGUAAACUUCUUUUAGCAGGGAAGAAGCGAAAGUGACGGUACCUGCAGAAAAAGCACCGGCUAACUACGUGCCAGCCGCCGCAGUAA
rnacentral:rRNA from 1 species